GUGUUUAGUCCUUCUUCUAUUAAAGUGUAUGCUCUCUUUUUAUUAUAUUUUUUUGAAAGUGGACUUCUUGAAUAAUGGUUAAAACUUAAGUAGUAGCUAAGGUGAUACGAGACACUAGCUGAGGUGUUGUUGAACCUGAUGAGAUAUUACAUAAAGAUCAUUUUUUAGCCUUGUAGUUUAUUGAUCCUUUAAUCUAAAUUUUGUAGCAAGAUUAAACUUAAUAGUUAUUAACAAUGAUAAUGUCUUCUUAAGACAUUAAGCCUGCAAUUUUAGUUUCAAAUCUAGCGUGUUAUCUUCACUAUACUACUUGAUGAGGUUUGUUAUUUUUCCCUACUUCCUCUCUUUUAUAUUUGAUGAGUUUAUGAAUUUUGACCCUAUUUGUUUUAUAAACCAAACUUUUGCUAUAUAUCUAAGUGUCAGCUGAAUGCAAAUUAUAAUAAGUACAGAAUUUGGUAAAAAGAAUUAAUUCAAUAAACAAUUUAAUUAGAGCAAAUGUUAUUGAAAAGAUUAAGAUAAAAUUCUUUAAUAUAAAAAAGGUAUUGAAAUUAUAUACUAACAAUAACUCCACAAAUCUCACUCAUAACAAAAUGUUUAUCUUUUGCAGGAUUACAAUGCAAAAAUUUCAGAUUUUGGCUUGGUCAAAUUAGGCUCUUCUGGGGAAGAUUCACAUGUGAGUACGAGGAUCAUGGGAACAUAUGGCUAUGCUGCUCCAGAAAUUCUCUGGAAAUCCCUAUCAAUGCCACUAGCUGCCACUAUUACAAUCCAUUGCGUAGUAUUUGAGACAAUUGCCAUAUAUGGUCCAUCAUUUCCACUUGAGACCACAUUGAUUGUGUCUUUCCUCAUGGCAUGAAAUGAUCCAAUUCCUAUAGAGUCAUGUGCAUAGUUUUGAAAUAAGCAAAUUCGAAUGUUCUUUGCUAAUGAUUGUCUAGUAGAGGAUCAAACACAAUGUUAAGAACAAAAAUAAAAACGAACAGAAAGAAAGUAGUUUAGUUUAGAUAAAAAAUUGUUUCCUUCUUUUAAAGUAAUUAAUUGCUUAAUUUUUUAAGGAUGAGCUAGUUGUAUGUACCCUAUUGAUCUCCAGCAGGUACACCAUUAGGGAUUAAUGUGCAACUUCUUCAUUAGAGACUAUGGGAAGAAAAAUUAUUAAUUAAGUUGGUGUUUUGUUUUUUUUUCAUUCCGAUUCUAAAGUUGGGCUUGGUUGCUCUUAAGAUUAAGAAGCUCAUGGGCGUGGUUGCUUUAGUAAAUUUGGGAUAUAUUGUGACUUGUGACCAUUGGCCAUUACUUAGCCAAUUCUACACCACACACAUUCAUGGUGCAUGUAGUGUAUAUGUGCCUCUUUUAUUUUACAAUUAGGGAAGCAUAAUAUAAGGAAGGGAAAGGGUUGUGUUUGUGUUUGUGUUGUGUCAUGUGUGUGUGUCUAUUUAUAUGUCACUACUCUUAAAGCUCAAUAUAAUUAUAGUAGUCCUAAGAGUCAACAGAUCAGAUUAGACUAAACAUUAGAUGAGAGAAAAUGACAACACCCUAUAAGCUCAAAUUGAUAUGAUAUGUUAUAUGGUUGAUUAGCUAGUGAUUCAAUUGCAUUGUUUGUAUCACUCAAUCAAAAUUGCUAUCAAUUUCUUGUUUGAUUUUGUUAUCUUAUUUACGAGAUUGCACUAUUUUAUUGUUAAUGAUCUAUAUGGUUAACACUCUAAAUGGUUAGCACUUUUAAGAAUAACUUGACAGGUUAUGCUUCAAGUGUUAUUUUAUUUAUUUUUCUUUAUUCUAAGGUUUAUGGAGGAGGCUUCCUAUUGGCUUCAAGUUUAUAACUGUUAUCCAUGCUAUUUUGGUGUAAGAUUUGAUUAAGUAUAUUGUUGAUUAGUUACUAAAAUUGGCUUGGACUAAUAGUACUUGAAUUUAUAUAUGUGUUUGUAUGUGUGUUUUUCAUUUCAUGUAAAUUCCUAUGUUCAACUGAUAGCAACUAUUUUUCUCUCCACCAUUUACUACUUAUGUUGACUAAUACUUCAAUAAAAACAUUCAGCACUUGGAGCCUGGAAGAGAUGAAUAAUGCAACAACAGUCCUUGAUUAGUAAACUUUCUUACUCAGAAUUGCAUGUAGUGCCUAUCACCUGUGUCAUGAAAGGCAGAGUUAAUCACUUUCUGAACUUAACCUUGGGUUGAUUUAGUGAUUAUUACAUUAUUUUGUUGUUUCUUGUGACACAUUAUUAUACAAUUGACCAUUUCUAAGUUCCCAAGCAUUUAGGAGUUGAGUGACACAUAUUGACCAAUUUGCAUGCAAGUGGGGAUUUUGUUCCUGGCUUUCUUCUGGGUGGUGCAUUUUUUUGGAACUCUAGCUUAUAUCUUUGCUCCCUAGGCGAUUCCUUUUUCUUGUAAUUUUAAAUUUGCUACCUAAGUGCCUUUCAAUUUUGUUCAAUACCCAUAAGACUAACAGAUAAAUCAAGCGUCUGACUUGGCAUUUUCUCUCUUCUGUUUAGUUAGAAACAUUUAAGUGUUGCUAAGCAAUAAACACGUCACCUUUUAAACCACGGGAAAACUGUGCAAUAAAGUCAACAAGAAAAAACAAAUACACCCUUUGAUGCAUGCUAGACUCCAUUUCCAGACAAUGGGCAAGAAUUUCCAUGACCUAGAACACAUCCCAAGACCCCAAAAAUUGCAAAUGGCAUCGACAAUAAAUAUGUAAGCUUUUGCAAGUAAAAUUCAAAAAUUUUGAAUAGGGAAUAACUGCAAAGUCAAUUGAAGGAAUUUAAGUCCCAUUAAUGUCCAAAAGAAUUAUAACACAACAUAUAAACAAGAAUUGUUUUUAUAACAGGUUUGAAUCUAUAUUUUCUUCUUCUAGGCAAUAAUACAUUAACUUGAUAGAUUCAUAUUGCGUUAACUCAAUGGUCCAAAAGAACUUGAAAAAUCAAAUCCUAAAUUAAUAGGAACCUAAAUGAGAAUAUGGGUACAAAUGGACAGUUAGCACAUAAGCUUCUCAAGCCCCUGGUCUGGAGAAAGUGUAUGUUAAAAACAAAAAGAAUGGGUAGGGAAACAAUAGUUAUGUGGUAGAGAGAGAGGACAGAGCCAAUUGUGAGAUAGGUUUGUGUUAUAUUGGGAUGGAGAGAGAAUGAGGGUAAGGAAGAGAAUCAUUGAGUUUGUUAUGGUCCUCAUGGACAAAGAGCAUUAGACCUCUAUAUGAGUUUAGCUUCAUGGCAAUAGGAAAAUUAACUCCACUAUAAUCCCUUCAUUUCAAAAAUAAUACACAUCUUAUUUUCCAUUGAGUUGUUUUCUUUAUUAAUUGAUAUUGUGUUAGUUCAAUUUGUAUUUUAAAUAGAUGCAAUGACCAAGGUAAAAGUAGAAGUGUAGAACUAAUCUAAAUCAACAAGUGUUCACAACAAACAAUUUCAUAAUAGAGGAUGAGGGGAUUUUUUAAUUAUAAAAAAUCAUUUUACCUUAUCUGCAAUGGCAAAAUUUGCAUAGUCAAUAGCUAUGUGUGUUGCUCGACCAAUACUUUCCUUUGUCCUUGUCAAUGUCUCAAGCAUCGCUUCAAAGUACAACAAAGCAGAACAACCUGUUGUAGUUGACUUACCCAUACAUCUUGAUUGUUAAGUCGUCAUAUUCUCAUUUCUACUACCAUCGACAGGAUCAGAUACAGUUUGUUUUUGGUCAUCAUAUGUUGAGACAGAAUUCAUAUCCUCCUCUGGACCUUUACAUUUUACCUCUUUCACAAUCUCAUGCCUGAAAUUAAAGAAUAGACAUAAACUUUCUUGAAUUGAAAGAAAUGAAGAAUAACUAACUUUUAUUUGACAAUUGAUCUCUUUCAUAUUCGCUAUCAUUAGAACAUUAAUUAACCCUGUAGAAUUCCACCAAGCUGAACCACUCAAUUAGUUUACAAUAUAAAAAAAAUAACUACUUACAAAAUGUAUGAUCUAAAUGAGAAAAGCAUAAUACUACCAAAUUGGCAAAUUCAAUAACAAGAUGUCACAACAGAACAGUAAACAAGCUUUAGGGGUACGAAACUAUAAACAAUUUCCUUAAUUCUUUUUUCUUCUUUGCUUUGAGGAUUUUAAUCGGAGAGUCAAAAGGCGAAGAACUAUAACAUGCCAUAACUAAAGCUUACAUAUGUUUUUUUGUGCCAAUAUCAACAAUUGUUGGCUUCAAACAUUUUGUAUCCUCACAUACAGCACCAUAAUUGAUAUGAUUUAAUAUGUACGGUUAUUUUUUUCCUCUUUGCAUCAUCAUCACCAUAUUGACUGCUAUUGUUAGUGACCAUCUUUUUAGGUACAAAUGUCUUGUAUACACUUAUGAGCCCCUUUUUUUUGUUACAAAUGUUUUUAUGAAUUGUUUAUGCGAUUAAUGACUGUGUUCGAUAUACAAUGCAAUGAUUAAUAUGGACAAUGUGGAUUAAUCGUUGUAUUGAAUCUUGUCAAAAUGGAUAGAACUAAAGAGAGUAAAGAGCAUUCACAUUCAGUGGGAAAAAUGUUUACUAAGAGCUGAGUUAGAAAUGAAUCACUAAGUGUUUAAGGAAUUUUAGAAUUGUUAGAGUUAUGUUUUAGCUUAGGUUAUAAAUGAUUUUAUGUAUUGAGAUUAUUGUUUCAUGUACUUUUAGUGUUUCUUUAUUUAAUAAUAUUUAUUCAAUAAUAAUUUGAAUAUAAUAUAUAUUGCUUGGAUUGGUUUUGGCUUUGAUUGGUUCUGCUUUCAAUUUGUAGAUUUGAGUUCAUUUAACAAAUUAACAAAAUAUAAAAAAAAUUGCAAAAACAACAUCGGUUCUAUCAAAAUUGAUGUUGUAUUGUGCUAUACAAUAUUGGUUUUCACCAAAAUCGAUGUUGUAAGUACUAUACAACAUUGGUUUUGACCAAAACAAUGUCAUUUUUUCUUUUUUGUCUAUUUUCUAUCAUAUCACGUCUGUUUUGGGUAGAACCGAUAUUGUAUAGUGGUUUUUAACAUCAAUUUUUAUAACCGAUAUUAAAAAUGACUUACUUUUAAUGAUAGUGAUUUCAACAUCUGUCCAUAACCAAUAUUAAAUAUAAAAAAAAAAAACUAAUGUUAAAUGUCAAUUUUUUAGUAGUGAUAGUUCACAAUGAGUCUAAGUCUUGGACUUCUUGAUUAAAGAUGACACUCGAUGAUAAGAGAAGCUCAUAAAGACAAUCAAACACAUGUGAUGAUUAGUAGAGUAAUAACAUAUAUUUGGAUCAUGUGGGUACUUAGUGUCUCUAUGUAAUUUUUUUUAUAAGGUUUAACUUUGGAUAAUCAAUAUAUAAUUAGGGUAACAAAACAUGACCUUAUAGUAAUCCAAUGUAAUAAAAGUUCUUCUAAUAAAAGAAUAUUCUAAAUUCUUUAGUGUGUUUGACAUGAAAAAAUGCAAGGAAUUCUUUGAUUUAAGUUGUAUAAAAUAAUGAGUAAAAUAGGUUGAUUGUCCAAACUAUGUCACUUUGAGAAACUAAACCCCAAAAGGGAGUCGUUCUAAAGCAUAUUAUAAGCAAGAAAUUGUUUUGACUUUUAACUGGAUCAACACAUUAGUUUGACAAACAAGUUUCAUGCCACGUCAUUUGUUUUUAAAAAAAUUAGUCUAGAAGGACACAUGCAAUGAGGGGCCCACUCCGAUAAAUUUGUGGAACACAUUGUUAAUAAUGAAAAAGAUCAAUUUUUUUGUCAUUCCAGAUGAUAGAAUAUAAGGAGAAAAAAAGUUGUAUCUGCCACAUGUCAAAAAAUCAAAGGUGACACUUAAAUGAACAAAGCUUCAACCUUGUUAAGUGAUUUAUUAUAUACAACUACUAAGCAUUAACUACUUGCUCGGCUAUUUGAUGUGGGACUAAAGUAUGAUUUUAUACUCCCACAUCUACAACUAAGUUUGUCUCCUCAAUAUAAAAUUAAACACAUUAUCAAUCCUAUUAAAUCUACACUUGACUUUUAUAUCGCAGUAAAAAAAAUAUAAUAUAGUCUUUCCAACGUUAUAUAUAUUGGAAAAAGUUAUUUAAUACAAAACUUAUUUUCGUGCAAUAUUUACUUUAAUAAAGUAUCACUUUAAUUUUUUCCCCCAAAUUUUAUAUUAUAUAUAUAUAUAUAUAUAUAUAUAUAUAUAUAAUUAACUAUUUUUCAUUAAUAUUUACUUUAAUAAAGUAUCACUUAAUUGAAAUUCAUGCAAUUCAUAUGGUAUGUUUUGGUACUUCUGAACUCAUAUAUAUGUAAAUAUAUAUAUAUAUAUAUAUAUAUAUAUAUAUAUAUAUAUAUAUAUAUAUAUAUAUAUAUAUAUAUAUAUAUAUAUAUAUAUAUAUAUAUAUAUAUUGCAUGUUACGUUUAAAUAUAAAAAAAUCCAACUAAUUUUAUUCUAUUUAAUUAUAUUAUUUUUAAAAUGUUUUUUUAUUUAAUUUUAAUUUUAUUUUUUGUGAUUCUUUUUUAUUCAUGAUAACAAAUUUUAAUGAAAAAUAUUUUAUAAAUAAUUUUAUUUUUUUACUUGAGAUUAAAUAAAUUAAAUAAUAUAAACUAAUUUUCUUAAUUAAUAAGCAAUUAAUUAUUUUUACUUAUAUAUAAAUUUAGAGAAGUAAUAAAUAAUCUUUUCAUUAUAUUUGUAAACGAAUAAGAUAUCAUAAUUAAACUAAACAAGAUCAUCAACAUCAACAAUAAAUAAUAGUCUUACUGAACCGAUCGAAUCCAAAAACCUCGUUAUCACCUAUUAUAAAUGAACUAUAGUCCAAUUACUGCAAUUUUUAGAGAUCUAUAUAAAAGGUCAUUGGCAAAGAGGAAGACAUAAUUUAAGAACGAUUAGUUGAGAGGAUAGCAUUAACCGCCUGAAAGAGACUUGCGAAUGAUAUGUUUCCAUUACAGACACGAAUUAAAUUAGUUAAGAUAGCAUAUUGACUGAAUACACCACUCGAUCAGUUUGGUUGCCAUCAUUUUACUAUGUCGACUGCAAUGGGAAAUAUAAAAGAACAUCAGUAAAUGACAAAUUUUAAACUCUACUUGAUAAAUGUUUAAAAUUCAUCUCCUGCACAUUAAUUUCAAUUCAAGAUUUUGUUGGGAAUAAAUUUGUAUGACUACGAUCUAAGUCAUCAUGUAAUCAAUUCUAAUUUUAAAAAUAAAAUAUUAAUUUAUUUUCAUUGUCAUAUUUCACUAUUUGAUUAAAUGAUUCAUUUGAUAAUGUCGUUAAUUAAAAUUAAAGACUUGUUAUUAUGAUAGAGAUUAUGAUAAUGAGAAACAAGUUUGUUUUAAUUUUAAUCUAAAUCAUUCUUGAUCAUAAGAUUAUUGUAAAUAAGAUAUCAAUAAUCCGGAUAGAUUAAUAUAUAUGUGAUAAUAUUUAUUAGAUAAAUAUUAAUAGAUCUCAUUUAUUAAUUUGUAUAUAUAGAUGAGUCACAUAUUGAUGUAAUCAUUGAACUGAUCCAAUUGAAAUUUUUUAAUGAUUAAAAUUUAUCAUAAACUGUCAACAGAAAAUUCUCAAGAAGAGGUAUAAUAGCUUUCUUUGACAUGAUGAGAUUGUCAUAGUAAUUAACAGGUUAUUUGUUGUAUUUUGAUUCCAGAUACCUAAUGCUUUAGAGCACUUGUUGAAUGGAUAUUUGAUAUGAUUAAAUACCUGUAGAAUUAAUGAUUAAUCAAGAAGGAAUUCAUCAACUCUUGGUAAUGAGUUUGAGCUCUAUGAAUAAAAUUAUAUCAUGAUCAGGAAAAUUAAAUGAAAGAAGAAAUGAGUUUCUUAAGUCAUUAUGAGUUAACUCAAGAGGGUUUGACAGUAAUGUCAUACUCUAGAGUUAAUCUAAAGCAGUAAAGAUGAAAGAAAUUAUUACACUACUCUUCUAAUGGUUCUUGAAAGUAAAAUGAUACUUCAUGUUAUCCGGACGUUAAGGAGCGUUGCUAGACGUCUACCUUGAUUAGUAUAUUAAUUUGAUUAAUAUAUUACCAGCUUAGUAUUGAACCUACAGGGUCAUACACAAACGACGAGUGUUCUAAUCUCUGUUAAAGAAAUUAUUUUAAUAUUUGAUGAUUAAUUAAAUUAGAGAAUUUAAUAUAAUCAAAUGAUUAAUUGAUUUCAAAACGGUGGAAUAUUAUUAUAUUUUUGCUAGCACUGAAAAUAUAAAUAAUAUGAAAGAUUUUGUGAGAGAAGAGAAACAAACAUGUAUGAUUUUGAUUUGGAAUUUGGGUUGAAAAGGAGGCUAGAUACAACUUGGUCAAUUAUUAUUUCAAUUUUAAUUGCUAAAUGGUUAGCAAUAAAAGCUAACAAGAAAUAAUAUAGCUUAAAAAAGAUACUAUCAAUAAUGAUUUGGAUUUGAUCAGAAAUUUGGUAUCCUUAACGUACUAUAAAUAGAGCCUUAGUUUGCACGUUGAAAUCAUCCUAAUAUCACUUCUCUAUUCUUAUCUUUUCACUGAUCAAAGUUGUUGACUAAUAGAGAUUAGUAUCAGUGUGGAUACACGUAACGUCUUCACACUAUCGAUGAAUGUUUAUGCUUCAAGAACUCGUUAAUAGGUACACUCUUAAUAUGUCAUAUAUUUAUAGUAUAAUUUAAAUAUAAAAUAAAUAUUUUUAUUCCGUAAUAUAUAUUUUUUAAACACCUUUUUUACAUAUUCUUGUUCAAUUGUUUAAACAGGUGAGGUGUGUGAAUUAUUAUAAAGUUUUCAUACCUCAUUUCAAUUCCUACAUGUAAAAAAAAAACAUAAUUUUAAAACAUCCUGCCCCAAAAGAAAAUCAUUACCUUUUCUUUCUCCGUGGAAAUUAAGCAAUAAAUGGAGGUAUGAAAGAAAAUCGAAAAAAACACACAAAAGGAAAUCAGAAAAGGGUGAAAGUUAAACCAACAAUACAACUGCGAAUUUGAUACUACACCCGAAGCCGCCUAAUCAAUGAUAGUCGGUGCAUAAACAGUUUUUUUUUUUUAGGUGUUCAUCAACAGUUUAGUACGGAUAGAAUGCAGCAAGUUGUGUGGUUUUGUUAUUUUCUCUUGUCUUUGUCAUCUAACUUUAAUCGAAUUAAUCAUAAAUGGUGGUACCUUCCCUAGCAAGUUGAAUGUUGAUCACGAGACCCUACAAAUUAAAAUACGUGUAUACAUCAAAUGUAUGAUAUUAAGCCAGGUGUACAAAAGAUGAAACAUUUUGUUUGCAGCAUUAAAUUGAACCCAACUACCAACUAACUCAUGCCAGCCACAGCACAGGACUUUUGUAUCAAUUCAGUUGAAAAUAUACAGCACAUUUUUUUUAAAUAUAUUAUUUCUCAAAAUUGACAUAUUUUAAAGCAUUUUUAUUUUUAAAUAAAAAGAUUGGAAAGAUUUGAAAAAUGAGUACACCUGUGUAAUAAUGUAAAAAAGAAGAAAAAUAAUAAUAACAUUUUAAGUAAUUUGGAUUAUGAAAAGUAGAAGAAUUUUUUUAAAAAAAUCUACUAGCUUCCUUUGUUAGAGGGACAUGAGUCCUCUACAUUCCUUCUACAGCCUCUCUAUCUCGAUCUCUCUAACUUUCUUUAUAUUUCUACUGUAUGCAUUUUUUCUUCUUCUUUCUUUUUCCUUUUAUUAUUUUUGGCUACAGAGACAAUAGAGGAAUAUCUAUUUUGUUUAUUAGGGUUUCAGAUAAAAAAAAAUGUCAAUUUUUAUUUAUUCGAAAAUAAAUAUCAAUUUUGUGAAUAGUAAUAUAAGAAAGAUAAAAAAAAUUACGCUUCUCUGAACAAAAUAUUUUCUCCAUCAAGGGAAAUUAUUCUUUCUAGUCUUAAUUAUCAUUUUUUAAUUUCUUUCCAUCUCUCUUUUUCCUCUUCUAAAGAAUAAAAAAACGACAUAUUAUACGAAUUCAGUUAUGUGAAUAAUUAAAAGAUUUAACUGCAUAACACAAAUGAACUCAUUUUAACGAAUUAAAUAAAUUGAGUAGUUGACUCGCUUUUGAAAUGAAACAAACAAAGUUUAACAUAAUAUGUUUUAUCCCUUUUUAUGUCACACCACUUGACACACAACAAAAACACAAAAAAAAAGGGUGAAAAGAGGUUUUUAUUAUUUCCAUAAAUGUAAUUAGAAGUAAUUGCAGAUCGAAGUGAUUAACUAGAGAGACAUUCACAUUCACAUUCACUCCCCCCACAUCAUUAACUCUUGUACUCUUUCUCUCCCAACCUUCUUAUUAAGUAUGUUUACCAUUCACCAAAAAAAAAAGUAUGUUUACCACUCCUCUUACUUUAUCCUCUUUUAAAUAAAUUUCCCUCUUCCUACAUUGUCGCAAACAAAGUAAAUGUAAAUAUACAUUUUAUUUUGGGGUGUAUAUAUUGGAGCAGAAGAAAGAGAAAUGAAAAAAAAAGAAAAAAUUAAUAAAUAUGCUAAUUGACAUAAUAUAAAAUAAAACGAAAAAAAUACAUAUAUAAUUAUAAGAGUUGAAAACAACAUCCACAAACCACUUGAGUUUAAGCUCUUCACUUUACACUACUUUUUUUUGUCAUAUCACGGGACACUUAACAAAAUCAUUGAGGAAAAUAGUGAAAAGAAGUGUUUAUUUAUUUUUCCAUUAAUAUUGAAGUGAUAUUAACUAGAGAAAAUUAAUCACAUUCACGUUCACAUUCACUUCCCCCUCUAUAUAAACCCUACACCCAGCACCGCUCAUACUCACCAAGUGAACCAAUAUAGCCCAAGCCCUAUACAACCAAACCCUAACACACACCCAUUUGAUUCAGUUUCCAUGGCUAGCCUCAAGGUUGCAUUUUUGGCUGCAGUGCUCUGCAUGGUUGUGGUGAGUGCACCCAUGGCACAUGCAGCUAUCACGUGCGGGCAGGUGACGAAUAGCCUGAUCAAUUGCAUCGGUUACCUCCAGAACGGAGGAACGCCGCCGUCGGGAUGCUGCAACGGAGUGAAGAGCCUCAAUGCCGCCGCCAAGACCACCGCCGACCGCCAGACGGCGUGCAACUGCCUCAAGUCGGCCGCCAGCCAAAUCUCCGGCUUCAAAGCCAACAACGCCGCCUCGCUCCCCGGCAAAUGCGGAGUCUCCAUCCCCUACAAGAUCAGCACCUCCACCAACUGCGCUACGUAAGAAUAUAUAUAACUUCAUUUUAAUUAUCAUCAUAUUUUUUUCCCACUCUCACUAUACUCUCUUUUUGCUGAUGAAAUUAUUCUAUAGUCUAAAGUGACAAAAGGAUGGCCUUUUUACAAGUAUAAAAAAAUUCAUUAGAAAGCCUAACAACUAACUAAUUAAUUUUCACCUAACAUGUUUUGAACUAAUAUAUCAUGAAACAAGCAAAAUCUUAUAUUUUGAAUGUUAUCUCUUUUAUUUUUGUAUAUUUAAACCCACGUAAUUCCAGUUUUUAUAAUCAGUCCUCUCUGACUCAAGAUCUUGGGUAAGCCUUGUCUAGGAUAAUAAUUUAGAUUAAUUUCUAUUUGAUACUUAGUUGCACUUUAUUGAUUUUUUUUUCUCGUAAAUGUAGAGAUCAAUUGAAACUGUAGAUAAAGGACGAUUGCAAACCAUACCUUAAAUUUUUAAAUUCAUGUUACUGAUAUCUCAUCAUAGGGAGAAUGAAAUAUGUCAUAAUAAAAUAAAUUAUAAUUUUCAUGUUAAUUUUAAGUAACUAUAAAUAAUUUUUUUUUAAAAAAACUAUUGCAUAAAAAUUAUAUAUUUUUUUUCAUUUUUAAUGAUUUAAAAGUAACUCUAAAGAUUAAUGAUAGCAAAACCAAAUGAAACAAGAUACUAGUAUAUUGUACACUUCCGCCCCUAUUCUUUCAUUAAUAUACUUCUACUUCAGCUCACUAUGCAAACUAUACUAAAUAUAGAGUAAUCUAUUUUGAUUUGACCGUGUUCAUUACCUUGAUUCAUUUGUUGGUUACACUUUGCAGCAUCAAGGUUUGAAGAGAAAGUCAUGGACGCAGGAAACCGGAAACUACUCACUAGUAUAUGAGUAGCAUUAUUAAUAUUAAGAAUAAGAUCGAGGGUGAUGAGGGCUCCACUUAUAUGCCCCUCUCCUCUUGUAUGAGAGAUUUGUAUUGGAUAGCUUUAAAUUGUGUUGCGUUGUUAUUUCUCUGUAUGAGUUACACAUAGUUAUAUCUACUUUAAUAUUGGGUUCUCCCUACUUUGUCUCGUUGCUCUUUUUUGGAUUUAUCAUCGAUAUCACUCAUCACAUCUCUAUAAUUAGCUGAUAAAAAAACAACGAUUAGUAAUUGGUACUAAUAUUUGGAUCAAUUUAAUUUGAUUAGUUUGUUGAUAAAAAAUAACAGUUUUACAUUAUAAGUGAAUUAUAAAUGUCUCUUAUUUAAAAUAGCAGUGUUAAAAUGUCACAAAAAUCAUCAUGUGAAUAACGAGUCCUAAAGGUUAUAUAAUGAUUAGAAAUGUCUCGCUUUCAAAUUUUAAUGGUGAUAAGGUACGGUGGUUGAAGGUCUUUCUCAGAUAUUCAUUAUGAACCUAUUGGAAUUGUAUGUCAAACAUAUCAUAAAUGAAAAGUCGAAAGUACUAGAUUACAUACAUACCUUGCUAACUUUUUUUUUUACCAAACCUUGCUAACUUAAUCACUUCCAUUAUUUAAACGUCAAAAAAAUAUAUUAUAGGUGAUAUUGUAUAUAUAAUUAAACGUACAAUUUUUUGCCAGUCACAAAUAUUGUUUGAUCCAGUCAGAAAUUUAUGAUUAAAAAACAUUUUCCUUAUCUAUUUGUCUAUAAACUCCGCAUAUUUGUAAGAGGUUAAAUCUUAGUUUUAAGAAGUCAAGCUAUGAUCUCAAUAUAACAUAAACUAUUCUUUUAUGAGAAUAAAGCAAAUUAAGAUUCUAUUUUUCUUUUUUUCUUUCUUUAACUAAAUAAAAACCUUUAAAAAAUAAAUAAAUUUAAUAUUUUCUUUUUCUGCAUUCAAACUAAAUCGAAUGGCCUGACUAUUGAAAAACGUAAACUUCUCUAUCUUUUGUUAAAAGAAAAAUGAAUUUUAUUGAUAAAAGCCUAAUAGGUAGUCAAAAUUCACACAAAAAGUGCCAGAACUGAUCGCAAAAGUCCAAGACAGAAACAGACGAAAAUCAUUCAAUAAGGACCAAAACAGACCAAAUUUUCAACCUCCCUAGUUCCUAGCCAUACCACUCCACACACGUUAAAAAAACACAUACUUGUAAAGGCCCAGACCACCCCGCAACGCAUUACAAAAUCAGCUAAAAAUAGAGAAGAAAGAGAUAAGGUGGAAUUUUGAAUUGAUUGGUUUGAGAAAUAUUAUAAAAAAUAAAUUUAAGAAAAAUAAUAUUUUGAGAUAGUUUGAUUUGAAUAAAUGGAAAGAAGAGAAAUUAGAGUAAAUAAAAAAAAUAUACCAUUUUAUCCUUACCAUCUAAAAUAAUUGCUCGUACCAAUUUAAUUUAUUAUGCAUGUGUUUGUUUGCAUGUUUAGAGCCUUUUUUAUCGUCAAAAUAUAAAAAACAACGCAGAAGCUUCAUUUUGCUGCUUCAAGCUUGACCUGGGUCAAUGAUGUUGGACGCUAAACCAAAAAGACAUUAUAUAUGUAUAUGGUAAUCGAUUAAAUUGUUCUUCUAAGAAUCACAUCAUUGCAUUCUUCUAUUUAAUUGAUUAUUAUAUGAAUAUCUCCACUAAUUAACUGGUUCAUCCACGAGUAAACAAGCAUGGUGAACAACCUCAGCAUAUAUAUUGUGUAGAAUAUCAAAAUUGUAAGUAAAUUACCUUGUAGAAUUAGGAGGCACUUAUAAAACUAAGAACAAAUUAAGAUCAUCUCCACGAAAUAGAUCUUCCACACAAUACAUACAUUAUUGAUUAUUUACGCGGGGAGUACUAGCAGCGGCGCAAGGUUGUGUUUUUCGUAAACUUUCACGGUUGCUUUUCGUGCUAAACAGUAUUUUUCAAUUUCUAUUUAGAUUUUAAAUCCACCUAUUGCAAGUUUUGAGAGUUGGGCAUUUGUAACUAUGAAAUUAUCAAGCCAGGACCAAGUUAUCAUGCCUUAGAUAUUUCACCUCAGUUUUUUUUUAUCAGCAAAAUAUAUUUAUAGAUAGGUAGAAAACGGAACAACACGGUACAAGUGGUACCGUUAAAACAACAGAACAACUGCAACUAGAGUUACAACAUAGAAAGGGAGCAUCCACUUAAUCCAUACCUCACAAAAACCCAAUCUUCCUUAAUGCAAGUGUUUGGAUUACUCAACCAGACCUACCAUGAAGAGCUAAAGGCCUCAUCUUUGGAAGAAAGCACUACUAAAAAAAUACUUUUUUACAAUGCACCUUCGACACUAGUUCCCACAAAACAGUCUUAGUAUAUAAAAUAGUGGCAAUUUUGUAAAUAUAAAGUUUUUCAACAAAGACGAUUUUACAAAAACCGUCUUAGACAGGUAGCUUUUUAAGAUGGUUUUGCAAAAACCAUCUUAAAAUGACAUUUUUCUAAAACGGUUUCGCGAAAACUAUCAUCAAAGGAUGAGAGACUUUUCGCUGAGAUUAAAUUCAUCCAUAAACCUAGGUAGACCCUAACUACUUUCAUAACAACAGCCAAAGGUGACCUUUGGAGUUCAGGUCGCACGGGUUGUGGAAGUUUCGAGACUUGACCUAACGGCACACGAGGAUUUGUUGGGGAUUUGUUGCGCUUCCCUAUAGCCUCCAGAUCCAGAAGACCUUCAACAACAUCAAGAUCACCAUUGUCUACGACUUUGUACAACGAGGUCAUCAACCAAAAUCUCAUUGAGGAGACCAACCGCAUCCUCGUCAAGAUUCAAUAUGACGCUGACCCUUUCGAUCCCAACGACCAACAAUUCUUCAACCCUAACGACACCUUCACCCUUCACCCAAAAAAUUGGCUUCACCAAAACCCCGAGUACCCUAAUUUCCUCAAAGGUAAACCUCGCAUCUUACUCCUUACCGGUUCCCCUCCCAAGCCCUAUGAUAACCUUAUUCUUGUUUCAAAUUUAAUUUAUUAUUAGGGUCUAAUUCAUUAUUAUGUUUGUAGAAGAAAAUAUGAUAUGAAGUUUUAUGAAGUUUUGAUAAUGUCAAAGAUAAGCGCUUCUCACGUUUGAUCCAAGUCAAGAAUCCAAAAAUUCAAGAUAAUUGAUGAACUUAGUUCCUAGAAUCUAAGGAAGAGUUUCUUAAAUGAUGAUGCACAGGUUUCGCCAAAGGAUAUUUUCCAAAAAUUUUUGAGAUUUCAUAAAUAUGAUAUUUACUCUCUGAUAAUCGAUUACCAGAGGCUGUAAUCGAUUACCAGUGGCCAAAAUAAUUUCUGAAAUGCUCUUACAAAAUUUGAAUUUAAAUUUUAAGCCUAUAACCGAUUACACAAGGCUUGUAAUCGAUUACCAGAAGUUUUAAACGUUUUGUAACAGCCUUUAGAAAUUUGAAUUUAAAUUUUAAAGCCUGUAAUCGAUUACCAGACAUGAAAAUUCAAAUUUCAAAUCUGAAGAGUCACAACUCUUCAAAAACUAAUUGUGUAAUCGAUUACAACAGUUAUGUAAUCGAUUACCAGUAAGAAAUUUUUGAAAAUAACUCCCAAAAGUCACAGUUGUUCAAGAAGUUUUUGAAUAACCAUCAAAGACCUAUAAAUAGGUGACUUGGGACACGAAAUUCCUCAGAGUUUUCCUGAACAAAUUGUCUUAUCCUCUCAAUACCAAAUUGUCUUAUAACUCUCAAAAAGAAUUCCUUGGGCAAAACACUUGCAAAUUCAAUAAGGAAUCUUAAGUGAUCUUCAUUUGUAAUAUAUUUCUCUUAAAGAGAGAAUUCUUCUUUUUCUUCUUAUUCAAAUAAAUUGAUUAAGGGACCGAGGGUCUCUUAUGUUGUAAGAAUUUCUGAACGCAAGGGAAGGCUUGUCCCUGUGUGGUUCAGACUUUGUAAAAGACAUUUUACAAGAUAGUGGAAAUCUCAAGCGAGCUGCUUGGGAACUGGAUGUAGGCACAAGGCGUGGUCGAACCAGUAUAAAAACUGAGUUUGCAUUCUCUUUUCCCUUGAACUUCUUUUAUUUUAUUGCAGUUUAUAUUUCGCUUUAAAGAAGUUUAUUUUGAAUUGUUCUUGAAAUAAUUCAUAAUUAGGGUUUCAUUAUUAAUUAAAAAGAGAGUUAAAUUUUAAUUGGGGAUAGUUUGGUAUCUCAAUUCAACCCCCCUUCAUAAGAUACUAAGGCCACUUGUCUAACAAUGUUUGGUAUUGCGUCUUACAGUAUCAGUCCAAACAUUUGAGAAGGUUAGCUCGAAACAUUUUAUGGGGUUUGUGAGAAAGAUCCAGACAAGGUAAAUGUUUUUCAUGAAUUAUGUAGAAUAAUAAUAUGAAUAUUGUACCAUAUUAUCUCAUUCUUGACUCAAAUACUUAUCAAAUGCAACUUGUGUUCUAGUAUUAGGUUCUACAAGCAAUGAUUCAAAUGGGAGUUCAUGUCCCUACUGGAGAUAUGACUGUUAUUAGAAGAACAACACAAUUCUUCCUCAACAGGUAUUUAUAAACCAAUUUAGUGGGAAUAUAUCUCAAAUGGAAUCACCUCUAGUACUUAAGCAAUGAUAUUUCUACAAGUUAAUAGUAUUAUACGGAAAAUUUAAGGGUUGGAGAAUCCAAGUCAAAAUAUUUUAUCUUGAAAAAGAAAGGUUGAUAACUGUGAAAUAUGAGCUAAUUUGAUAGUUAAUUGUGGCUAAUAAAUAUGUGUAAUUUCUUUACUUUAUUAUUGUUUUUAAGGAAAUAAUGAAAAAAUUAACAUCUUUGCAAUUUUUUAUUAGCAAAAUUCAAAAGAAGAAGAUUUCAAGUGUUUUAGAGGAAAAAUUGAUGCAAAAACUGGAAGAAAAAGCCUUGAAGAAAAGUUGGAAUAAUUGGACAGCUCGCUUAGCGCGUGCUGCAAACUUAGCACGCGUUGAAGGCUUAGCGAGCAAAAAGCCUACAGCGAAGCCCAAAUGUGUGCUUAGCGUGAAAUCUCACACUAAGCACGAUUUCAGCGUAAAAAUUAAGCUACCAGGAGCCUAUAUAAGGAGGAGAAAGAAAAAGGGAAAGACACAUCGAGUCUCGAAGCUCUCCAGUGAAAAAAUCCAAAGUCUGAGUCUCUCCCUUAAGGGAAAUCCUCUUUUCUUAUCCAUGCCCCAUUUUCUUACUACUAGUCAUCCAGCCCUUUCUUCCAUUAGUCUCUGAAGUGUAAAUCCUCUCAUGGCUAUGAGAGGCUAAACCCUUAUGUUGGGAGCCUAGUAGCCAAUGCCUUUGUAAUAUAACUGUUCUUCUUAUCUAUUAAUGCAAUUUCAUUUUCUAUUGUUUCUUUUCUAUUUUUCAUCUUUAUUGUGUGGUUUAGCCAUCCAUGCAUCUGUUUUUAGGGGUUAUACAUUGGGAAAUGAUAAUUUCUAAAGAACUGGAAGGGGCAUCUCAAUAUUGCAUUACUAGGGAUAGAGUGACUUUGUUGUGCCUCUGCAUACAUCUUUAUAUUUAAUGUUGUUUAUGAUUCAAUCUUUGUAAAGAGAUUUGGGAGAAAGAAUACAUAAAUUAGGUUUUUCAUCAUGAGGGAUCAGGGUUGAGCAUAUUAGUAGAUGUGGGUGGAAAUUGGAAAAACAGUUAAUAGAGAAAAACAUUAAUAUUGCAUCAAGGAUAGUUAGGCAUGUUAGGCCCCAACAUUAUUACAUUAUGAACUCAUCUUUUUGCAUUUAAAUUACUGUUUAUUUUUGUUAUCUUUUUCUUUUCCUUUUAUUCCCAAAUUUCACACUUACAAUUCCCUUUCUCUUCUACUUCUCUUUCUUACAAAUUGAGUAUUUACCAACGUAAGUACAAACAAAGUCCUUGUGGACUCGACACUCGGUCUUCCAUUUUAAUCUUUACUACUUGUGAUAAAAAUUGGUACACUUGCCAAUCUAUUAACAAAGGUUUUGCAUAUUCAAUAUAUUUCUUUAGAUGGUUCUUUGGUUUGUUUCAUUUAUACCUGUCAUGUGGGAAGCUGAAAUGCAUGUAGUUGGGUUGUUUCAUUUGGGAAAGUAGUAAGAAAUAUUGGGUCGGAUACAUGCAACUCCAAUCAAGGUAUUGUUUGAACUGAUCUUUUGGAUAAUUUGUGUUGCUAAAGUUGUGAGUAUCUUAUUGAUUGCUAGUAUUGGUAGAUAAUGAUGAUAUGUUUAUAUGGUCCUAGCCUCAAAGGUAAUUGUUAGAUACUUCACCUUCAUGGAUCAAAUAUGCAUGGAGAUGUGGGAGGGGGAGAAAGUAGUGCGAUCAAGUUUUGUAUUUUUUAGAAGUCUCAUAUGGUUUGAAUUAAAGAUGGGUAUGGAUUUGGUGGGAGGAGAAUGUGCGAGGGUUAUGUGCAUGGAGAACGUUUGGAAAUGGCUGGUGCUACGAGAAUUGAGUUAUGGCAUCCAGUAAUGGUUAAGCUCUAUGAUUAAUUAUUAGUUAUUACAAAUAUAUCUUGUGCAAACUUCCAAAUGGUGCGGCGUGCAAUUUCUCCUAUGAAAACGGGGACAAGUUGGUCUAAUUAAGUCGGGAAUUUGAUUUGCUUAAUUUUUCUACUAGGAAAGAUUAUGUGCUAUUAAUGGUUAGUGGACUACCAUUGACAGAAAUGGAUAGUUAUAUACUUUGUAACCGGAAAUCACAUAUAGUAAUAUAAUCUUGUUAGUUUUAAUUAUAGGGUAUUUAAUUAAUUUACCUCUAGACAAAUUGCUUUGCACCCAAAUUUCACUAGACUAAUUUGAGAUAUUAACUAUUCUAACAACUAGUUGAUAUGCUACAUUGCUACUAAUGUGAGGACAACCAUAACUCAUAAUUAGAGAAUGGUCCUUUUAUUUUCAAAGACUUCCUUUGGUGUAAUAACAUAGUCAAAUACUAACUGAUGCAAUGGUUGAUUAUCACAACAUAUUUUUUUAAUGCGUUUCUUGGUUUAACUGUGAUAUCAUGCAGGCUGUAGUUAAGAGAAUGAUUGGUGUACAACAUUUCAUUAUUGAUUUAUAGCUUACUAGUCCUUUUGCCUAAGUUGAUUUCUUACUUGAUGUUAUUGCAGGAGCAUGUGAGGGAUGGAUUGCGUGUUCAACUUGCCAUGUUAUAUUCAUUAUUAUGGUUAAAUUUUUUUAAAAUUUUUAAUUUUUUUUAAAAAACACAUAUUCUAAGAGGGAAUGCUUACAUUUUAAGGCGUUUUUUUGGGGAAACCGUCUUAGAAUCCUCAAAAUGUUAAAAUUUUUUUAAAAAAAUAUAUUCUAAGACUAUUCUCUAAAGAAAAAAUCAUCUUAGAAUCCUCAAUAUAUUUUAAUUUUUUUUAAAAAAAUACAUUAUAUGACGGUUCUCUGAAAAACCCUCUUAGAAAGUCUACCCUUCUAAUACGAUUUUUAACAAGAACCAUCUUAGAAGGUAUCCUUCUAAGACGAUUUUUAGUUAAGAACCGUCUUAGAAGGAUACCUUUUUCUAUGAUGGUUUUUAUGGAACCGUCUUUCUACGAUGUUGCCUAUGAUGAUGGUUAAUAAUCGACGUCGAAUGUGUCUUUUAACUGACUUAGAAAACGCUUUGUCCAGUAGUAAAGCCACAACCAUGAUGUCACUUUGAUUAGCUCGAUGAAUUUUUGAAUAUCCCUUUCUUCCUCCUUGAACACUAUCAACUAUCAAGUUCCUAUGAAGCCACAAACUUCACACCAGUGCUUGCCAAAUUACCUUCCCUAUCUUAUUUUAAGGCAAUGUUUCCCUUAAUCAUAACAUGUUGCUGAAAGUGAUUACAUAACUUGUAAUGGAGAGCGCACUCCUUUAGGCUAAACCAAUCGUAAUUGGAAUUCCAUACUAGAGAUGCAAAACCACAGUUGAGAAGAAGGUGGUUUAUUGUUUCCAUCUACUAAGAACAAAAGGAACAAAGUUGACCACUAUUGUCCAUAAAAACAUUUCUCCUAAUCAAAUUCGUCUUUGAUUCAAUUCUAUCUAGCAAAGCUCUCCACGUGAAUCUCUUCACAUUUGAUAGGGCAGCCACCUUCCAGAUUGAAGCAGCACACAUACCAACCUCCCCCACAAAACUUUGUUGCUGCAAAACUCUGUACCCUUUGCUUACUGAGUAUAAUCCUGACUCACUUUGCUUCCAUCUCUAGUUGUCCCUAACAUGAUCUUUCACUUCCGAGAGCUAGGAAGCAUGGACACUUCCAAUGAAUUCCAUGUCCAUGUGUCUGACACCGACACUCUUCGGACUUGCGAUAGACAUUGUGUCGAACACGUUUUUCCAGCGCACAAUUCUUUUAAUUUUUUUUUUUGGCUUGGACAUGCCACAGACACUUCUCCAAAAAGUUGGAUACACAAAAAAUACUUCUCUAGACACACAAUGGAUACUUCUCUGGUUAUGUUUUUUAACAAAAAAUUUACAAACCAGCCCAAAAGAUUAUAUUAUAAAAAUUUAUUUUUAAAAUUAGCAUAUUUUGAUAACCUCUUUCACGUAACAUUUUGUCUUCUUCUCUUUUAUUCACGUUUGUGAUUUGUCUCUUUUGCACAACACCAUCCGUUCACAUUCUCGAGUACGCAGGUGUCACUGAUUAUUUUCCAUUCAUCAUUGCCUCAUCGGUGCCUCUAUUCGUCAUGUUUGGCUGACUUCGCGUUCAUGGUCUUUCUAUUUGUCACUUCAUCUUAUUUUUCUUUUCUAGUUCAUUGACUUUCCUCUCCUUUCAUGCAUUUUUUAUACACCCUUUGUUCGUCUUGAUAUAAAUCUUAAUUAUUAAUUUAUAUUCUUGUCAUGUUGAUCAUAUGUGUGUGUGUGUGUGUGUCAAGUCCCCGUAUCUUAUGGUUUAGAUUUUAGUCGUGUCCCAAUAUUUGUGUUUGUGUCGUGUCCUAUGUUCGAGUCCAUGCUUCAUAGCUAACAAGUUCACCUCAUCCAAAAACUCCCCCAUUAACUCAUAUUCCUAUUCAAAACACCUUUUCCUCCAUUUCCACUCCCAACACCACAUUUUCCAUCCACAACUUCAUUUAAGCUAUAAGGCAUUGUCUUUGUUUAGAUAAAGCAUAUAAUCUCGGGUAUCUUAUAGCCAAAGUCUCCAUUCCCCCUAUUUUUUAUGGCAUAACUCACAGUGUUCUCAUCAAACGAUUUCCCAUUUUUCCGAUUACCGCAUGCCCUUUCCACACCUUUCCACCAAUACGAUGGUUUAGAAAACCCCUCCCCCCUUUCCCUUCUUUAUACCCUCACCAUACUUAGACAUGAUUAUCCUUUCUCGAAGAGCCUCCUCAUUAGAAAAUAAUCUCCAUUUCCAUUUAGAAAGAAGAGCUAAAUUGAAGAGAUGGAUAUCUUUUACACCCAACCCUUCUUCCUCCUUAGGCCAACAAAUCCUAUUCCAUUUCACCCAAGCUAUUUUCCCUCCCUCUUCCCUCUUACCCCACAAAAACUCUAUUUGUAACCUCACCACUUUUUUAACCACCACAAUAGGAAUUUUGGAAAAAGAAAGGAAAAAAAGAGAUAACGAUUUGAGCACAAAGUUAAGUAAGCAAAUUCUUCCCCCAAAGGGUGCAUUCCUAUGUUUCCAUCUAUUAUGUUUCCUAUUCAUCUUUUGUAUAAUAGGCUCCCAUGUGCUUUCUUUGGCUGGAUUUGCACUAAUAGGGAUGCCCAAAUACUCAAAAGGAAGAUACAUUACCUUGCAAUUCAAAAGAGAAGCAUAAAUCUCAUUGGUGGCACUCUCAACAGCUACUCCUGCCAGUUUGCUCUUGAAGAAGUUUAUCUUUAGGCCCAAUACAAGCUCAAAACAUCUAAGGAUAGUCUUUAGGGUCAUAACGUGCUCCAUAGAAGGCUUGGCAAAAAAUAGAGUGUCGUCCACAAAUUGAAGUAGAUCAACCUCCAUGUGAUUUCUCCUUAUCUUCAUACUCAAGAACAGGUUUUUAUCUACCACUUCCCUCAUCAAUCCCGCUAGUCCCUCAGCCAUACAAAGGAAAAUGAAAGGUGCUAAUGGAUAACCUAGCCAUAAGCCUCUAUGCAUCCUAAACUCCUCGGCUGGGCUACCAUUCACAAGCACUAAUAAGAAACCUGAUUCAAUGCAUGCUUUCAUUCAUUUAAUCCAUAUCUCACAAAAAUCCAAUCUUCUAAGCAUAUAAAAAAGAAAUUUGCAAGAAACGAAAUCAUGUGCUUUUUAAAAAUCAACUUUGAAGAUCAAGCAUGGUUGUUUCUGUAGAAGCAAGCUUCAUGAUGAUGAAUCAAGUUGAUUCAAGUAGUUUUGAUGAUGACAAAGAUGAUGACAAAAAUCCUAAGAUAAUGAUUUCAAGAUUGAGUCAACAAGUUCAAGAUCAAGAUUAAUUUCAAGUUUCAUGAGAAGAAAUCAAGAAGAUUCAACAUUCAAGAGAAGUUUGGUUUCAAGAUUCAAGAGAAGAUGAAUUCAAGAUUCAAGAGAAGAAAUCAAGAAGACUUCACAAGGGAAGUAUUGAAAAGAUUUUUCAAAAAAACAAACAUAGUACAGUUUUGUUUUUCAAAAGAGUGUUUCUCAAAAUUUUCUAAGUUACCAGAGUUUUUACUCUCUGGUAAUCGAUUACCAAUUACCUGUAAUCGAUUACCAGAGGCAAAGUUUGAUUUCAAAAGCUUUUAACUGAACUUGCAACGUUCCAAUUGAUUUUUAAAUGGUGUAAUCGAUUACAAUAUAUUGGUAAUCGAUUACCAGUGUAUCUGAACAUUGAAAUUCAAAUUCAAUUGUGAAGAGUCACAUCUUUUCAUAAAAUGCUUUGUGUAAUCGAUUACAUGGUUUUGGUAAUCGAUUAUCAGUGACAAGUUUUGAAUAAAAAGUCAAGAAAUGUAACUCUUCCAAUGGUUUUCAGGUUUUUCUCAAGGUUAUAACUCUUCUAAUGGUUUUCUUGACCAGACAUGAAGAGUCUAUAAAAGCAAGACCUUGACUUGCAUUUGAAUAACUUUUUUCAUAUAUACUUUUACAACCUUUGAAUACCUUUGAACAUCUUUUUGAACUUCUUCUUCUUCUUCUUACUUUGCCAAAAGCUUUCUAAGUUUUCUGGUUUCCAAACCUUGUUCUUUCACAGAAAACAAAAGUGUGCUAUAUCUUUUUUUAUUCCCUUCUCCAUUUGCCAAAAAGAAUUCGACAAGGACUAACCGCCUUAAUUCUUUUUGUGUCUCUCUUCUUCCUUUUCCAAAAGAACGAAGGACUAACCACCUGAAUUCUUUUGUGUCUCCCUUCUCCCUUUUCAAAGAAUUCAAAAGGAUACAGUCUGAGAAUUCUUUUGAUUCUUCCCUUUCCCUUAAACAAAAGAUUUCAAAGGACUAAUCGUCUGAGAUAUCUUUUGUUUCCCCUUCACAAAGUUUUAAAGGACUAACUGUCUGAGAACUUUGUCUUAACACAUUGGAGGAUACAUCCUUUGUGGUACAAGUAGAGGGUACAUCUACUUGGGUUUUUGUAACUGAGAACAAGAAAGGGUACAUCUCUUAUGAAUCAGUUCAAGUGGAGGGUACAUCCACUUAGUUGUUCAAAGAGAACAAGGGAGGGUACAUCCCUUGUGGAUCUUUGCUUGUAAAGGUUUUUACAAGGUUGAAAAGAAAUCUCAAGGACCGCAGGUCGCUUGGGGAGUAGAUGUAGGCACGGGUUGUUGCCGAACCAGUAUAAAACUCUUGUGUUUGUCUUCUUCUUCCCUACACUCUUUAAUUUCCGCUAUGCACUUCAAUUAUCGCUUUUACUUUUGUUUAAGUUUCUAUUUCUGUUCUUUACUUUCUUAACAUUAUAGUAAAAGCCUAAUUGAAUCUAGUAACAUUAAGAAGGACAAAUUUUUAAUUAGUAAAGGUUCAUUAAUAAUUAAUUCAACCCCUCCCCCCCUUCUUAAUUAUUCCGAGGCCACUUGAUCCAACAGUUUCUUCCCUUUUUUUUACCUCAUCAACAACUUCAUUAGCCACCAUCACCCCAUCAAGCAUGAAUCUCCCACCAACAAAAGUGCUUUGUCGUUCAUCGAUUACUUUGCCUAACACCCUUCCAAGACGCAUAGCCAACAAUGUUGCUUUAAGUAAAUCACUAAUUUAAAAAUAAAUGUACUUAAUUUUAUAUAAGCACUUUAUAAAUAAAAAUAUCUUAAAGAAUUCUUUUCCAUCUUAUAAUUAAUGGCAUGUAUGCUCUUUAUCCUAUUCCAUGGGUAAUAAGACAAACACUUUUUUGUAUGUUGAUUUUUCUUACAAAAAAUAAAGUAAAAACUCAUGCAUCCUACAAGAGAAAUAAGCCUAAAUUCCCUUAGUCCCUAAGGAUUGUCCCUCUUAGGAAUUAGGGCAAUAAAAGGCGCAUUCCCUCCCUUGAGGAUCACCUUAUUGGAGUGGAACUCCUUCAAGCCUUAAUGAAAUCCACAUUUAGAAUAUGCCAAAACUUUUUUUAUGAAGGAGAAGUUAUAUUUGUCCCGACCAGGGCUUUUGUCUCCAUCACAAUCCCAUACCGCUUGCUUUAUUUCUUCAUCGUCAAAUAAAGCAAUGAGCAAAGUGUUGUCCUUUUCACCAAGCAAUUUAAAAUGCACUUCAUCAAAUUUCGGUCUCCUCCACUCUUCCUCUAAGAAUGUUUGUUGAAAGAAUUUCUUCAUUUGUUUUUCAUUUUUAUAAAUCAUCUUCCAACCUAUCAUUCACUUGAUCAUGAAGUCCCCUCAACAUAUUCAUUUUCCUCCUACCGUUAAUCAUAGCAUGAAACAAUUUUGUGUUACCAUCCUUUUCCUUCAACCACUUGCACCUAGUCUUUUGAUGCAUCAACGAUUCAAGCAUAAGAGAUACUUUCCAAAAUUCAUCAAAUAAGUCCUUCCUUCCCAGCACUGAUUCCUCACUCACAUCCUUCACCUCAUCUUAUAAAUCAAUCUCAUGAAUUUUUUCCACCAAUUCCCUUUUCUUUUGUUGAAAUUUUCCAAGUUGAUCUUUAUUCCACCUUUUCAACUCCCCCUUAAGUAAUGUGAGCCUUUCCUUUGACACAUAGCCCGCCCAGCCUCUCAUAUUCAUUCCUUUCCAUGAAUCCUCAACCAACUCUUUAAACUUCCCAUCUUGUAGCCAACAACUUAGCACCCUAUAGGAUUUAAGACCCCGAUCAACAUUGGAAUUUUUUUAGCACCAAGGGGCAAUGAUCUGGUACACUUCUCUUUGAAACAAAGGUUAUACUUCCCAACCAUUUUUCAAGCCACUCUUUAGAUACAAGGUAUCUAUCAAGUCUAUUCUUGCAAUGACUAUUGGGUUUAUACCAUGUGAACCUCCUCCUCACUAGUGGUGCAUCCUCUGGUUCCAUAUUUUGAAUGAAGUUAUUAAACUCAUUCAUUUCAGUUCCUCCUACCUCUAUCUUAAGUCUUCCUCUUCUUUCAUCCAUUUUCCUUAUUGCAUUAAAAUCUCCUAACACACACCAUAUCCCACUUCCCAAUUGAUUUUUUUACUUGAUGUAAAUCCUCUGAAAGCUUCCUCUUCUCAAGCAUAGUGCAUAGUGAAUACACGUACAUGAUCAUGCUUGGAUCUUCCCUUUCCUCCAUACCCCUUGCACCCCAAUAAAUCCACUUCCAAAAAAAGAAUUUUUCAUUUGGAAUAGCUCCUUUUUCCAUGCAAUAAAUAGACAUCCUACAACAUUAAUUGUUUCCCUUUCCAACCAUGCAACUUCAUCAACACCCCACAAUGAGUGAAAGAAGCUUUUGUCCACAUUUGUUAUUUUGGUUUCCUGUACAAACACCACAUCUAUUCCUCCCUCCUCUAUUAUUUUUCUCAACUCUUUCUUUUUUAUUCUCCCUCUCAUUCCUCUUAUAUUAUAGCUUAGUAUCUACAUAAUUCAACCAUGGUUGCACCUUCCUUUACCUCCUCUCCAAGUCUAUUCCUUUUGUCCCUUGUCAUUUUUCCAUAUGUGGAUAUUUUGGCAAUCAAAGCUCUGUAAGUUUUAAUUACACCAUACAUUCCUAUCAUUUCUCCCUCCCCCCUUUGAAACUUGUUUUCCAACUUUGUUUCCAGAUAUGCUUAUAGGCUUUAGCUUACUGUCCAUCCCCAAUUGCUUUGUGCCACAAGUUUCCCCUAGUUGCUUCGAGGGUCUCAUGCCUUCAAUGUUUUUUGCUCCCUUUUUCUAAUAUUCCUUCUUGCUUCUGUGUAACCACGUUUAUGCCCAAAGUCAUGUUAUGGGUUGAAGGUGAACUUAUGUCCAACAUCUUUUUCCUAUAAUUAUACUUAGGUUUCGCAGAUCCAUAAUCUUUAAAUUUUUUGCUCUAAGACUAGCCCACAUCUUCCUCCCUCGUAGCCUCGGGCUUACACUUAUUAACCUCAUUGUGUAUACCCGCAACUGCCAACUCCUUUUGAGUUUCUACCACAUAUUUCCCCAUCCCAUAGAGUAAGUUACCUACCUCCAUCUGGGCCCCACCAUUUCAAACUUCCUUUGUCUGCGUCCCUUCACCUUCUGACCCCUUCUCCUCCUUUUCUACACCUAUUGUUUCCCUUUCCUCAAUUGUCCCCUCAUUCCCUUUUUUAUUCCUUUUUUUUCCUGAUUUAAUUUUGUCUCUCCUUCUACAAGUUAUUGAUCUCCUCAUAGAGGGUAUUUUCCUUUUGUUCAUCCAUUUUGCUUAUGUCCCUUUGCCCAAAGUUUCCUUUUGUGUGUCUACUCCUCUACUAUAUUUUCUUUUUGUACAACCUAGGCAUGUUAUAAUGUCCUCUACUCUACUUUGCCCAUUUGAAUUUUUCUCCACCAGUACUUUCUCCCUGGCCAACGAUUGUGGUGCGCCUUUGGCUCCGCUUCCUUUUGCGACACCUCCCUAGAACCCUUUCAUCUUUUAUUUCUUCAUCAAAGCUUGAGCAUUCUGAUUCACUAGAAAUCCUACAUUCCCCAUCCAACCUGAAUACAAAUGAUUCUUCAUUUGAUUCAGAUUCACCCCCCUUCUGCAUCUUGCAUCAACAUAAGCUUUUCUUCUGACUUUUGUUUUCUUCCAACAUGAAGAUCGCACAAAUAGUGUUGUGGUUUUGACCUAUUGAUGUUUGUUGAUCAUCCUCGUUACUGAGGUUCUCACAAGUAUUCUUGCUUUGUCUAGCAUCGAGAAAAACAUGGUCCUUUCAUCAACCAUAACUAUAGAGCCAACAUAUGCUAUGAGUUUGCAAAAACAUCCCUGAUUCCAAAACUUAAAUGGAACGUCGUAACAGUUCACCCAAACCACUCAACUUCCUGCUCCCACAAAAUCUGACCAUGAGUACAUGUGUCCAAAUAUCUUUUUCCACCAUUCAGCAUUGUUCUUCAAAGCCAUCUCUAUUUUUAUAUCUCCCUUUAUAGACAACAAUGCCAAAUUGUCUCCCAGGCUUUUCACUUUGAUUGCCUCCAUGUCUUCCAAAAUGAAAAACUCUUUUAGCCUUGUUGUGUUGAUAUUAUUGCUCAUCCUAGCCACCCAACUUCUUCUCAACUAGUCAAUAUCAUUUUCCUCCAUUCUCAAGGUGGUCUAUUAAGUUAAAAGACAUUUGUAUCUUAAGGUGAAUAAAGACCCUUAAUUAUUUUGAUUACAUGUAAACAAAUACAAAGGUCAAAAGUUGUAUCUUAUGCAUCAUCAGAACAUGUUUUGUGAGUUUGCGUCUAAUUUUCCAGACGAUAGCAAGCUAAGAUCAUGAUUUUUUAGGACACUAAACUUGGCAUUUAAAGAUUUCACUUAAUGCUUUGUGUCUAAGAUUUGUUUAGCAGAGAUAUUCUCCUAGAAUUUGUCGAAUCCUAUGAAGAAUAAAUUAAGCUCAAGCUCUAAAAUUCAUCAAUUGCCAUCAAAAGAAUUGUUUUGUUGCACAAACCUACUUUUACGCAAAAAGAAGUGGUUUCUUGCUGAAGUAUUCAACAUGUUGGCAAAGAAGAUAGGUUGGCCAUUUUUUUCUUUUUUGUCUAAAUUUAUACAAAUUCAAAAGAAAAAAAUAACAAAAUAUCGAGCCAAAAAAAGAUGGAUUGAAUUCGAGUCUAUAUUUCUUAAGUCCAAUCAGACCCAACGGGCCCAUCAAGUCGACACAAAUAGGUUUGAUCUAUUAAGGUCAACAUUUUCUCAGUCCAUCUUGGCCUAACCCGGCAGGCUAAUAGGCUAGCCCAAUCCAUUUUGUCUUGUGGGUCAAUAUUUAAGUAUUUGAAUAAAAAAUAAUAAACCCAUAACUUCAUUAAAAUGAUAUAUUUUAUUACAUUAAGCAAAUGACAUAAUUUUAAUAAAUCUCAAAAAGAUAUAUCACACUUUUUCUUCAAUUUUGCUCUUAUAUUAUAGUCUAUCAUUAAAUUUAAGUCUUGCAAAAAAUAUCACAUACACAUAAAUAUAUCUAUGUAUAACAUAAGCAAGAUGUGUUUGGAUUUAAAAGAGACAUUUUUAUAUUUUUUAAACACAUCUCCAUCCUUAUUUGGUAAAACGGAAGGGAACACAUCACAUUUUUUUACAAUUGUAAUUUACUUGUUUGUUUUUCAAAUUAAUAUUAAUUUUAUAUUUAUAAUUUAGUUUAAUUUUUUUAUUCGGGUCCUCAAAGAAAAUGAUCUAAUUCUAUUGUUAUCUCUAUCAUCGUCAUAAUAUAAUUUUAUAUUAAAUCUUACAUAUAUUUUUGUUGUUUAUUGUCAUACUAAUUUUAAAUAUAUUUUCUUUAUAAUUUGAGUUUUUAUUUUUGUUUCUUAUCUUGUUAAAAUGAAAAUAUUUUAAUCCAUUACAUGUUGAUAUAUCACUGUGGCUCUCAAAAUUUAUUGGAUGUGGAUUUACUAAUGUAACACAUAAAAACUUAACAACUAAUUGAGUGAUACAUUUUAUUCAGAUGUGUCAUAUUAUUUUAAUUUGAAAAAAAAAGAGACAAAAUAAAAUAAUAAUUUCAAUUAUUUUAUAAAAAAGAUAAAAUGAUAUAGAAAAAUGGCCUCUAACCUUCAGCUACCAUUUAUUUUAUCUUUCUAUCUUUACUAUUCAACUUGACAUUCUAUAGUUUAUAUUUCAGUAUUUUACAAAUUUUAUUUUUUGCAUUAUUAUUUAUUCGGUUGAUUGAAAUUGGGCUUACAUGAGCUAUUAUUAUUUAAAUGCACCCCUCUUUGCUAAGUGCACCCCUUGCUUUUGUUUAAUUUUUUGGAUAAAAAUACCUCUCAUGGAAGCACGUCUCCGUUGAUCACCAAUGCAAAAUAGAAACAUGCUUAAAUUUGUAUUGGGGGUGUAUUCCCAAUACAUCCCACGGAAACACGUUCCAGUAUUAGCAUACAACAUUUAAAACAAUGAAAUAAAAAAAAUGAAGGGGAAAGAGAAUUAAUAGAAGAGAAAUGAAGAGGAGAAGGUGAGGGGAGAGUGGGUACAAGUGGGGUUACUAAAAUCAGAAAAAAGGGGGUGGGAUUGGGAUUGGGAUUGGGAUUGGGGUAGUAAGAUAAUUAUAGAGCUAGUGCGUUUAGAAAUAUUCUUUUUUUUUUUAUUGUUUUUGUUAUGUUUGUGUGUUAUUUUAUUGGGAAAAUGGACUUAAUGUGGCCCAAUAGAAUGAACAGCAUAAAAUGUUGCUUUGUGCACCAGCAGAAUUUCUGGUACACCCAGCAUGUUUUUAAAUUUCCCAUGAUACCCCUCCCUUAUAACUUCUUCUUUUCUUUCCUUCUUCUUAUUCUUCAUUCUUUCCUUCCAAACCGAAGAUUUGUUCUCGUGAGAGGUCUUCCAUGAGAGGUGCUCAUUCGUUGUUGUGUCAUUUUGGUGGAGAUGUAUUGUUUAUGGUGGUUCAUCGACAAGUGAUGGUUGUGUUGGUGAUUGAUUUGGCCAUUAACGACGGAGGUAUGGUCUUCGAUUUGGUUUAUUUCGAGUAAAACUUAUGGAUUGAUAAUUAGUAUAUUAUAUAAAAUUUAUUGAUUGAUAAUCCGUAAAUUUUAUAUAACUUACGAAUUGGUAAUCCGUAAGAAACUUACGGAUUGACAAUCCGUAUGUUACUUACGAAUUGGCAAUUCGUAAGUUCCUUUUUUAUUUUUAUAAUUUUUUAUUGUUUAAUUAAAUAAAAUUAGAAUUAUUAAUUAAAAAACUUAUAAAUAGAUAUAGUUUCAAUAUCCAUUCGAAAGUUGUAGUUUGAAAGUGAUAUUAAUCUUAAAAGAAUUUAUACUUUUAAUUUAAUUUAGUCGUUUUAACAUAAAAAAAAUUGUCCUUUUUAAUUUAAUGUAAUAUCAUUAAAUGCAAUAAAAAAAUGAGAAAAUUAUGUGAUAGUAUAAUUAUGAUUUGGUUAGGGAUUUUUUUUUGUCAUUGAAAUUUUUGAAUGUUCUAAUAAUAUGGACGAAGAUCAAUGGAUGCAUGACAGUAUAAUAUCUGAAGAAGUUGAUAUGAAUGAACAAAAUGAACACGAAGCUGGUGUGAAUGAAGAACAUGUUAAUUGUUCUGAUACGUUCAAUACUUUUUAGGUAUUAAUAUGAUUUAUUAUUAUUAAAGUAAGUAAAUGAAUGUCUCUUGAAGACUAAACUUGUAUGGAUUGUAUUGUAGGUGUUUGCUACCCAUGAUGAUGUUCUAGAUUGGACUCGAUCUGUUGCUUAUGAAAUUGGUUUUAUGGCGGUGAUUAUGAGAUCAAACACAAAUAUUGGUAUUAGAGGAAGGACCUCAUUUGUUUUAAUUGAUUGUGAAAGGAGUGGUCAGUAUAGGACCAAGAAGAAAGAUUUGGUAAGAACAAUUACUAGUAGUAGAAAAUGUGGGUGUCCCUUUAAGCUACAUGCGAAACCAGUGGUGGGAGGCGAAGGAUGGAUGGUGAAGUUAAUGUGUGGGAGUCACAAUCAUGAAUUGGUCAAGUUAUUUGUUGGACAUCCAUAUGUUGUCGACUGACUAAGGAUGAGAAGAUCAUUGUUUCUGAUAUGACAAAGUCAAUGGUAACAAGAAAUAUUCUUCUAACGUUGAAGGAGCACAAUGCCAAUAGUUAUACAACAAUCAAGCAAAUAUACAAUGCAAGAAAUGUGUAUCAUUCUUCCAUAAGAGGUAGUAAUACUAAAAUGCAACAACCAAUGAAGCUUCUUGAAUGGGAUCAAUAUAUUCAUUGGCAUAGAUUGAAGGAUGAAGAUGUUGCACAUGAUAUAUUUUGAAGUCACCCUGAUGCAGUCAAAUUAACCAAUGCCUAUAAUUUGGUAUUUUUGAUAGAUAGUACCUAUAAAACAAACAGGUACAGGAUGUCAUUACUUGAUAUUGUUGGUGUGACACCAACAAGGAUGACAUUCUCGGCUGCUUUUGCCUAUUUGUUGGGCUCUACAACGAUUUUGAGAUUUUUUUCUUCAGACAUGAUGCACUCCCUAAAAUUAUUGUUACCGACAGAGAUCUAGCAUUGAUGAAUGCAGUGAAAAUUGUAUUCCCUGAAGAUACCAAUUUGUUGUGUCGGUUUCACAUUCCCUAGUUGGUAAAAAAAAUGCAUGGGAUUAUGUCAUGGAAGCCUGGGGGAGUUUGGUGGAUUGUCCUUCUGAGCAAGAGUUCGAUAACUUCCUUAUGAAGUUUGAAAUUGUUUGCUCACCAUGGCCAAUGUUUGUUGACUAUGUGAAGCAAACAUGGUUAAUUCCUCAUAAAGAAAGAUUUGUUAAAGCCUGGACGAAUAAGGUGAUGCAUUUAGGAAAUACAACAACUAACAGGUAUGAAAAAUUAAAUAUAUUUUGGUAUUAGGGUUCAGGGUCUAAUGGAUAAAAAUAAUUGUUUUUGUUUACUUGUUUGUGUAUUUCAAAUGCAAGGUUGAGUCUGCUUAUUGGGCCUUAAAGAGACUACUGUAGAAUAGCCUUGGAGACCUGUGUACUGUUUGGGAAGCCAUGAACAACAUGAUCACGUUGCGACACACUAAAAUUAAAGCAUCUUUUGAGACAAGUACACAUGUCGUUGAACAUGUUUUUAAAGUUACCUUAUACAAGAAACUACUUGGCAUGGUAUCAAGGUAUGCUUUAAACUAAAUUGUUGUUGAGUUUGAGUGAGUAUAUUAUGUUGGCAAAAACCCUUCUCAUUAUGGAUAUAUAAUGAGAACUACUCACGGUCUUCCAUGUGCAUGUGAGCUAGCUAUAUAUGUUUAUGGUACCAUACCACUUGACACAAUCCAUAUGUUUUGAUGAAGGCUAAGAUUUUCAGACCAAAGGUUAUCUAAGCUUGAAGUCAGCAUAACUAAAGAGAUGGAAACCAUAACCAAGCGGUUUAAAGAGCUUGAUGUUUAUGGAAAAGUUACUCUAAAGAUUAAACUUCGGGAAAUUUCCUACCCUGAUCUAAACUCUUUGUGUGCUCCUCCAAAAAAGGUGAAAACAAAAGGUGCUCAAAAGCAACCGAUGACCAAACAUCAAAGAUCAACAAAGUGUGAUCCAUCUUACUGGGAGUAUGUUGAUGCAUUACAUUCUGUGCAAAAUAGUAAUUCUUCAGUCAAACGUAGUGCAUCAUCAUCUGAUCAAGCAAAACCAAGAAGGAUCAUGCCGAUGUUGGAUCAAUUUCAUCCACGCAUUCAUGAUUCCAUUGAAAAUAUUGUUGAUGUCAAAGCUGAUGGUAACUGUGGAUAUCGUGCAAUUGUUUCCUUAUUAGGUAUGGGUGAAGAUUCAUGGUUUUGGUUCGCAACCAUUUACUUAAAGAACUUGCAAAAUGGUCUAAUGAGUAUAUCAACUUGCUUGGUGGCACUAACAGAUUUGAGAAAUUAAAGUGGUUCCUACUUGUUGAUGGAUUAUCCAUGGUAUAUAAGUUUUUUGUUACGUUUCAAUGGAUUAAAUUUUCUUUAAAUAAAUGUAAUUAUAACUAUUACAUGCAAGUUACCAUGGAUAAGUGGAUGAAUAUAACUGACACGGGAUAUGUGAUUGCAUCAAAGUAUAAUGUCAUCCUUGUUUCUCUUUCUCUCCAACAAAGCAUGACGAUUUUUCCUCUUAGAAGUCCACCACCAACAAAUUGUUCUGUGCAUCGGGUUAUAUGUAUCGUUCAUGUGUAUGGCAAUCAUUUGGUUAAGGUAAAAACAUCAUCAUCCUAAUAAUUUGAAUAUGUAUGUCCUUAUGAUACAAGUAUUUCUAAGAGACCGUUGUCCCUUACCGCCAAUAACUUUGUUAUGGUCUACACAUUGUCAUCAUUAAGCAAAGCAGUGGCCUACACCAUAUAUUGGUAGAAUGCAGUAGUAUACAAAUUUGUCAAGGUUGAAAAUAGACUUUGUUGAUUUAGGUGAAGAUUGAACAUUUAGUUACUUAUGCAGUGGUCAUGUAAUACGAUAAUAUAUGUGUAUUUCAUUGGACGUUCAUAUAAUUAUCUAUUUUAGUUAAGCUUCAAAUGAUAUAUAAUUAUUUAUGUUUUAGGGUUACUUGACUACCUAGGGUCUAGGGUUAUGUCGCUAAUUAGGGUGUAUCGUUACCUGAUCAAUUAGGGUUUAUGGUUAAGUCAGUACUUAGGGUUUACUAUUACGUGACUAAUUAGGGUGGUUUCAUUGAUUAGGGUUAUUAAAGGUUUAACAUCGCGUUAUAAAUUGGUGAUUAAUUUAAAAUUCACAUACAACAUAAAUGAUAAUAAUUAAAAAGCGUAUCAAAUAACAUUAAAUAAUAGACAUUAUUCAAUCAUAUUGCAUACAUAAUUGAUAUAAAACCUAAAAAAUAAUAAAAGUCUUCAUGUGUCUUCCAUACGUCGCCUUCGUCUCAAUUGAACAUAUACAUUUCGUUGCUCAAUCACACCUUUUGUGAUCCUUAGGCAGCCUUCAGCGACAGUGUAUAUUUCUGUUCCUUCAAUCACUAUCUUAGGUUGAGCAACAUUUCCAACCUUUUAUCUAUUGCUUGGCAAGCCUCCUAGGACAUUGACAACAAGGAAAUUUUUUUAGGGUUAAUGCAUGUUCAGAUAAAAUGAGUAACAGUGACAACUUAAAAUAAAUUUUACCACUACAUGUCAAGGCUGCUCUACAUCAGCAUGUGCAUCUGCAAGAGCUUCGUCCAUAGCCAUUACCGCCAUCGACUACUGAGGAAGAUCUGGUUCAACAAAUGUGUCGUCGUGCAUCACGGGUAGAUGUCUAGGAGGAUCCCCAGGCUGUGCGGGAGUCAUGAAGGGAUGAGAUAUCAUGUAAAACCACUCCGUGUAGUCUGUUGCACACUAUCCGAGCGCAACACAUAUCUGACCCACCGGUGCAAGCUAUUCAGAAAACUGAAUCCAUCUAUCAUCAAUCUAUUCUACAUAUAGACAUGGAGCAGUAGGGUGCGGUGGAAUGGUCUGCACAUACCCAAACUGUCGCACAACCCUCUCUGAUCGAUGUACAACAAUAGAUGGACCCCAAUGGAUAUGUUUGGAAAAUAAAGAGAUCAGCUCAAAUUCUCUUAAUGCACGGUGGUCAGAGUAAGGAAUCCAGCACACAGAAUCAAACGUCAAUCUAUCUAGACGCUUACGAUACAUCGACACUGGCAAUGCCCUUCCUGACUUCCAACGACAAGCACGUGGUUUCCUCUCAUCAUAAUCUUUAGCAGAAAUAAAAGAAGCAACAAAAGGAAAAUGCUCGUAGAUCCAACACUGCACAUAUUUAAAAACAACAAAACAAUACUCAAUAUAAACUAAAGAACUAAAAAAAUUAAAAGUACUUGUAAAAGUGUGAUAUAUCCUGCAAGUUUUCUGGCGCUACUCUUUGACACAUCAUUCAAAUUCUCAUACAUAUGGACCAGUGCAGCAGCUUUCCAUGCAUAGAUUCCACUCUACGUUAGGUCACGAAAUGCGUCCAAGAAUACCACAUGAACGUGUGUGACACUCUUGUUAGCAAAAAGUGUGCAACCUACCAGAUGCAACAAAUAUGCUCGAGCUGCUACAGUCCAUUGUGUUGCGUCACAUUUGCAUUGAUAUAUGUCUCGCAGCUAGGAUAGUCGAACAUAUGCCCCAUGGCAUUGUACUGUCUCAGCUCUUGCCUCUUCAAAACUCAUUUCAAGCAAUUCAACUAAAAGGAAGACGACAUCAUCCACAUGAAGAGCCUCAAAGCUAUGGAAGGUGCCUGUAAUGGGCAGAAGUAGCAAUGAUGCUACAUCAUCCAGGGUGAUAGUCUCAUCUCCUAUCGGCAAAUGGAAAUUACUAGUUUUCUUAUGCCACCUCUCCGCAAAAGUAGAGAUAAGUCCUUGAUCACCAGUGUCCAGCAAACAUGCGAUUAGAGGACUUAAUCCUGUGGCAGCCACUAAGCCUUCAAUAUCUGGAGCAAGCCUGCCAAAUUUCUCUACCUUCCUUUCAUAGGAGGACAACUUCAACUCAGGACGUUCCUAACAAUAAAAAUUUUAAUCAUUAUAACAAUAAUAACAAAUAGUUAUGAAAAUAUUAUUUAUCAAAAUAUAAAUACCCCUCUAUUCCAAAUUGUCACUGUCAUAUGAUAAACAUAGUCCAUCAAAACUGAUUUAUCGUGGGGUCCGCCUGGAAAACCCUCGACAUCAGUAACUACAUCAUCAACAGCUGUCUCUACAGGCUCUUCAUGCACCUCAUCAGCUACAUGAUACACAUGCUCGACAUCCUCAGCAAUAGGUGCAACUUCAUGUUGCCUACGUGCAGAUGUUGUGGGCCUUUGUCACUGGGGGCUUCAUCCGCAUCACGACUCUCUAAGGCUCUUCAUAUAAUUCUACCUAAAGCCCGACCCAAACCUCUGGUCUUAACCAUAAUUUGCACAUUAAAACAGCCAUAACAAUUAAUGUCAUUCUUCAAAUAAUAUUUCACUUUCAUUAAUAUAUAUUUACCAAUUUAUUAUUUAACUUUUUUGAUACUUUUAUAUAUUCAUAAAUCAAUAUACAAUUUUUAAAAAAAAAUAUUUAUAGACUACACACCACUAAUUCUAGUAAACUUAAAUAUAUGAUAAAAAUCAUACAAGUAACUAUUUCAAAUUUCAAAUAUAAUUAACUUGCAUAAACAAAUAACAAAAAAUAAUAAUUUAUUAAAUUAAAUAAUUAUUACUAACCAACUUAAAAAAGAAAUUUAAUUAAUUAAUUAAAUACAUAUUAAAAAUAUACAACAAUAUUUAUUUUUUAUUUAUUACAUAAAUAUUAUAACAACUAAAUUAUUAAAUUGUUAAUUAUAAAUUAUUAAAUUAUUAAUUAAUUAACUAAAAUUAAUUAAAUAAUUAAUUAUGUAAAUUAUAUGAAUGAUUAAUCCGUGUAUAAGCCAUAUGGAUUGACAAUCCAUAUCACUUAUAUGGAUCCCCAACCACACUCAACAAUGGCAAUGACAGCACACAAACAACCACAAAGACGAAGAGCUACUUACGCCGCGAAAGGAGAAUAUGACGAUGAUUGUGAUGGAGUGACCGACGGCACCAAUGGCGGUGGCAACGACGAGAGAAGAAGACACAAUGAAUGAAGGAGAUAGCGGCGCAACCUGUACGGACAACCCGAGGGAGAAGGAGAGUGAGAGGAAAAGGGUUUUUAAAAUUAAUGUUAAAAACAUUUUUGCUACUUCACAUUAUUUUUGCUAAGUGCACCAGCAUUUCUGUUGGGUGCAAGAAGCACUAGCCAAGGAGAAAACUAAAUUGUUGGGCCAAACUUUAACCAAUGUAAAUUGUUGUGCAAUAUGAUAAAAAUAUGGAAGCAAUAUAUACAACAUUAUAAAAAUAUUGAUCAAAAUGUACAAUAUUUUGAAAAUAUGAGGAUAAAAUGUGAGAAAAAAUAAUGAAUAUAUAAUAAAGUUAUAUGAAUGAUAUUUGUUGUCUUUGAACCUCUUGGAUAAUGUCAUUGUCAAUCUCAAACCGUCAUUAAUCUCCUGUAACUCAACCCUAUCGCCCAUGUCACGCAUGCAAGCCCCCAUUACACAACAACUAAUCUAAACUCUUCGAUUCUUAAUAUUUAUUUAGUUCCUUCGUAAUAAAAUAUUUGUAGAACAAUUAUCAAGCCUUAUUUUAUUCACGCUAAACCUAAAUGGGUAUUUUUUUAAAAGGAAAAUGAAUAAUGUUAAUCCCAAUUUUGAGUGCAUGCGUAAGACUAGAAGAUAGAUAAAAAUAUACAAAAAUAAAAUAAAAGAUGCAAUUAUUAAUAUGAUAAAACAAUAUUAAAAAAAUGUGAUAAAAAUUUGAAAAGAAAGAAAUAAGUAUCGGCAUUGGGGCAAUCGAAGGAUAUACAGAGACGAGACUUUCUCCAAUGGGGCCAUAAGCAAAUCAUAUAAGUGAGUCUAACAUCACACUUUAACUUAAAACCUUAAAGAUAGAUUUAUGGGUGUUCUCUUCACUUAUAUGGUGUUUAACUUUUUCAUUCUUAUUCAAUAUGAGACUUCAUCUCACACUUGUACAAUAACAAUAUUUUAAUUAUUGUGAUUUAUCCUUUUUAGAUCACAUAAAGAAAAAGAAUAAAAAUGUAUAGAAGAAUAUAGAGUAAAAGUGUGCUAUUUAAAUAGAUAAAAAUAAAUUAUUUAAAAAUAUAUACUAAUUCAAAUAUUAAAUUUAACUUACAUUAAAAUUUUAUUAAAUUAUUUUUCUUAACAAAAUUAUUUAUUUAUAUGUUAAUAAAAUUAUUUAACUUUUAAGAAAACUAAUACAAGA
rnacentral:lncRNA from 1 species